GGUUAAGCGACUAAGCGUACACGGUGGAUGCCCUGGCAGUCAGAGGCGAUGAAGGACGUGCUAAUCUGCGAUAAGCGUCGGUAAGGUGAUAUGAACCGUUAUAACCGGCGAUUUCCGAAUGGGGAAACCCAGUGUGAUUCGUCACACUAUCAUUAACUGAAUCCAUAGGUUAAUGAGGCGAACCGGGGGAACUGAAACAUCUAAGUACCCCGAGGAAAAGAAAUCAACCGAGAUUCCCCCAGUAGCGGCGAGCGGACGGGGAGCAGCCCAGAGCCUGAAUCAGUGUGUGUGUUAGUGGAAGCGUCUGGAAAGGCGUGCGAUACAGGGUGACAGCCCCGUACACAAAAAUGCACAUAUUGUGAGCUUGAUGAGUAGGGCGGGACACGUGGUAUCCUGUCUGAAUAUGGGGGG
rnacentral:rRNA from 1 species